rnacentral:sRNA from 1 species
ACUGUGUACUUCCGGCUUCGACCCCCACAACUCCUGAACGUGGAGGAACUGGAGUUCUCACAGGCCGAGGGUGGCGCUAGGAAAUGUUACGUCCACUGGCGUGACUUCAACCAGCUCGCACCUACUUAGAAAAGCAUAUGUCUAAAGUUAUGAAAUGCGAUUUACGCGAACUGGUUAUACAUAGGCCGUGUGAGCCUUGAAAGAGAAACUUUCCGCAGAACAAAACCCAGCUAUAGAGGAUGUUCUCACUGGGACAGCCGGGAAAGACUGAGUCACCCGAAGGUCUCAAGGACCGUUAUGAUGGCAUGGCCUGCAGCGGAGGAACCAAUGGAACACAAAGCGGUAAAUCAAAGCGAUAUCAUCAAAUGAUAUCAUCAAACACGCCAGUGCGCUCAACUCUCUGAUGACAACAUUCUACUGUGAACCAGCAGAUACGGAGCAGUGGACCAAGCAGAUUAGAAAUUCAUGGAGUUUACAUGCCUGGUUUACAUAGUAAGUUCUAGGAUUGUUACACAGAGAGACUCUGUCUCCAAGCCAACCAACCAAAUAAAUAUUUUUCUUUAA